CACAGGAAAUAUUAGAUAUGCGUAUAAGGAUUUUGUCUACUCUCGAAUUAGAAACCCAAAGACGGUGCUAAGGUAAAGGCGUCUUGCUGUAAACCGCGCUCAUCUCACCGACUCCCAAGAUCGAUCGGCCUAGGGUUUGCUCUCUCAUCCAUCCCAAAUUCGAAGCUUCUCUAAUGGAGACAACCAAUUUUCACGAUAGCAACCUCUAUAAUUUCGUUGACGGCAGAAGCAUCGAUUUUCGCCAUGAUGUUAGUCGCAGUUUGCAAAUGCACUCAUCACUGUUACGACGGCUCACCCAGGAGGGAGAAUUGGAGGGGCACCAGGGUUGUGUGAACACUGUGGCCUGGAACUCAAGAGGCUCACUUUUGAUAUCUGGAUCUGAUGACACAAGGAUUAAUAUUUGGAACUAUCCAAGCCGCAAGCUUUUGCAUUGCAUAGAGACUGGGCAUUCUGCUAAUAUAUUCUGCGCAAAAUUUAUCCCUGAAACUUCUGAUGAGCUUGUCGCCUCUGGAGCCGGAGAUGCAGAAGUUCGGCUGUUUCAUUUGUCUCGCUUAAGUGGGAGAGGACCAGAUGAGAAUGCUAUUACCCCAUCUGCACUGUUUCAGUGUCACACUAGGAGAGUAAAAAAAUUAGCUGUGGAAGUUGGAAACCCUAAUGUGGUAUGGAGUGCAAGUGAAGAUGGAACCUUGAGGCAGCAUGACUUUCGGGAGGGUGCUUCCUGUCCCCCAGCUGGGUCUUCUCACCAAGAGUGUCGGAAUGUUCUGCUUGACUUACGGUGUGGAGCAAAGAAAUCGCUAGCUGAUCCUCCCAAACAAUGCCUUAGUUUAAAAUCAUGUGAUAUCAGUUCCACUAGGCCUCAUUUGCUCCUUGUUGGUGGCAGUGAUGCAUUUGCUCGUUUAUAUGAUAGAAGGAUGCUGCCGCCACUGACAUCCUGCGGGAAAACGAUGACACCACCUCCUUGUGUUAACUAUUUCUGCCCAAUGCAUCUUUCUGAUCAUGGCCGGUCAAGCUUGCACCUUACCCAUGUUACAUUUAGUCCAAAUGGAGAAGAGGUUCUCAUUAGUUAUAGUGCAGAGCAUGUUUACUUAAUGGAUGUAAAUCAUGCCUGUGGAAGCACCGUGUGUUACGCUCCAGGAGAUGCUUUAAAGCUAAUGAACCCUAGUCCUAUACUGGAUGGGAUAGGAUUUGGAUCACCAGUGUCUGAUGCAUUCACAUAUGAUUUUUCCAUGAAAAGCAAUAUUGCUGCUAAGCUUGACAAGUGCAGGAAACUGGUUCAAUUUGCAGAAAGAUGCUUAAAGGAGGGGACAGAUUAUUUCUAUGGAAUUGAGGCUUGUAAUGAAGUUUUGGAUGGACAUCCUCAUGAGAUUGGGCCUACACUAAAGCAUGAUUGCUUGUGUACACGUGCUGCGUUACUCCUCAAGCGGAAGUGGAAAAAUGAUGCUCAUAUGGCUAUAAGAGAUUGCAAUAGAGCUCGGAGAAUUGACACUUCUUCUUUUAAGGCACUCUUCUACAUGUCUGAAGCUUUAUUGCAGCUGAACAAACAUAAAGAAGCUCUGGAAUUUGCUGUUGCAUCUCAAUGUUUGGCCCCUUAUGAUUCUGAAGUGGCAGAAAGAGUGGAGGAUAUAAAAAAGCAUCUUGCUGCAGCCGAAGCUGAGAAAAGUAACAAGUCAAAUGAUGGAGUACCUAGGUCUGAAACUAGAUCUGGAAGAUUUCUAUCAUUGAGUGAAAUACUCUACAGAUCAGAGGCAAAUAGUGAUGCUUCACAAGACGGGCCAAGAUCUGAAAGAGAAGAUUCUGAUUAUGAUGAGGAAUUAGAGUUGGACUUUGAAACAUCGGUAUCAGGUGAUGAAGGACGAGAUGUUGAAUCUAACAUUCUUCAUGGAAGUUUAAACUUGAGAAUUCAUCGAAGAUGUGAUUCAGCUAGAGAAACAAGUGGUACAAAUGGUGCAUGUGGAUCUCCUACAUCAUCAAGAAAUGAUAAAACAACUUACCAGCCUGAGACAGCGAUUGACAUGAAACAGAGAUAUGUUGGUCACUGCAAUAUAGGAACUGAUAUAAAACAGGCUAGUUUUCUUGGCUGUAGAGGUACAUUUUUUUCUUUAGUCUUUUAUUAAUUAAUUAAUUCAUCUUCUUUAUUGACCUUUUGUCUUCUAUAUUUUCUGAGCAUGAGGAUCAUGCCAAACAAAUGCAGUUUGCACUUUGUAGCACUUUUCAGUAUUUGACUAGUUUCAUAAAUCUAUAUUUCUUGCAUCCCUUUUAAUGUCAUAGGUGCUUUAAAAUCAACAUUUCUAUUUCCUUUUGUUAUGGUCUUUUUGUUGGAUGAGCUCCUAUGGAUGACUUUUACUUUGCCAUUUGCCAAUGAUUCCCUGUCAUCAAGGUGUUACAUUGCCAUGAGAAAGCAAUAUAGCUGAAAGAACCUUGGGGCCUCUGACCAAUUAGAUGCUCAUAUAGGCAUUCCAUGUAUUCCGACAACUUAGAUUUGUUAUGGUUGUUGCUGUUGGUAUUAUGUACUCCAAUAUCGUUGUAUCUGUCAUGAUUGUUGUGUGCUGCACACUCGGUAGGUUUGAAGGCUCAGGCCUCACUUGUUUUAGGUGUGUCGGGAAGCAGAAGAAGACUUAGCCGCAGGUUAUCGACUGAACAUUUGGGUAUUAAAUUUGGUUUAUUUUAUGUUGCUUCUUAUUUAAAUCGAUUAAGCAAAAGCAUCUAUUUCAUAAUAUGAGCAAUACCAAAUUCCUCUAGAGUCCAAACCUCCCUUUCCCCUGCCUGGUGGCCCCCUUGAUUGGCCCUUUCUCUAAAGGUGUUUUUGUAAAUGAGAAGUGUUUCAAUUGGUACAUGCAAGAAAUAGGCCAAGUCAGCACCUUUUCAUUCAAUUCUAUGGAAAAUUGGUGGACAGGUGAGUAAAACAUAAGAACCUUCCCUCAGGAGGGGAAAUAACAGCUGAAAUGACUACUAAUGCCCCAUUGGCCAAUGAGCAAAAGCAGGAAUGUGCUUGAGGAGUCCAAAAGAGGCUGACAAUAAUUUAUUUCAAAAUUGGCUGUUUUUUAUUUCCUCUGUGCUGUCAAGGAGAAUCUUACACAUAUACAUUUUAUCUAUGGUUUAAUUUUGGUGGUGUGGGCUAUAAGGUGGGGUGGCAUCCCAGGUGCUUUUGUGGGUACCUGUCAUGCUAUUUCAAGUAUAACCAAUCUGGUGGUGGCAAGAAGGAUUCUCUAGUUAUAGGGACCCAUGACCCUGUCUGCUUCUUUCUCCUCCUCUGUAAUUGUUGUUCCCUCUGUAUCAUGCUCUUGGUGGCUGGGGUUUUCAUAUACCUUCAUUCUUCUAGGGUCUCCUGUUUUAAUCUACAUUUUUAAUCUAUAAAUAGCAUAAUAUUAUUACACAAAAAGUGCAGUGAACCUGUUCACAUUAAUUACCAAACUAAAAGUCCUCAAGCUGAAAACUUAUAAUUGUCCCUAGAAACAGCCUGUUUUUCCUGCAUUGCUUGAUUGCUACCUUUCCUUGCACAAAUUAAUCCUAUUGUUCAAAGUUACAGGAGUCUAUGACUGCGACUGGACACAGUGUGGGCUUGAGCUUUCCUUUGCAUGCAGCCAAUGAUGCCUUCCAAAACCCAGUCAAGAGGAAACCGGGAUAAGCCAUCUCCAAUCCAAGCCUUGCUAGAAGCUUCAAACAUCUUUAUAUGCUAAUUAUUUGUCCUUUUAACAGAUUGAACUAUCUUACCUUUUUCAAUUCUGACUAUUGACAUCAAAUCCCAUGAUUAAUAUUUAUUUUCAAGCUUGAUAUUGGAUCAGAAAGCCUUGUGUUAUGACAAUAUAUCUGACCAUGGACACCUCUCCUCUACUAUGAAUUGGAGUUGUUGUUUUGAAAUUAGCCGCAGUCGUCUCUGCAGCAUCUGUUAUGUCUUCUUGUCUUGGAUGAGAGGUCUUUGCUUGAAACAUCUCAAACCACGGUAUUAUAUUUUGUAUCAAUUUUGAUUGUACAACUUCAGAUCCAAUUGGCAUAUGAGCAUAGGAUUCUGGUCACUAAGGUUGAGACUGUUAGUCUGGCAGAACAAAAGGGGGGAGGCUCACUCUCGUUAAAAGCACCUUCUCUAGCAUCCCUAUCUAUGGCAUGCCUUUGUUAGUGAUUCCAAGUAGGGUAAGUUUAAGGCUCGCAAAGGUACAAAGAGAUUUCUUGUUGGGUGGAGGAUCUCUAGAGAAAAAACCUCACCUAGUGAGUUGGGCUAAAGUGUGCUUGGAUAAGAAAAAAGGGGGCAUGGGCAUUAGGAAUCUUUCUAUCCUUAACAUGAUGCUUUUAGCUAAUUGGAGAUGGAGGUUUGCCUUCGAAAGGGAAUCUUUGUGGAAGCGGGUGAUUGUUGGGAAGUUUGGGGAGGAAGGAGAGGGUUGGAGUUCAGGGGUGUCCAGGGAGGGGUAUGGAGUCAGCUUUUGAAAGGCUAGCAGGAAAAAUUGGGAGGCUUUUAAAAGCAGAGUCUGCUUCCUUGUUGAGAAUGGGAGGAGAAUCAAGUUUUGGUUACAAGUGGUGUGGUGACACAUUGCUAAAAGUGCCUUUCCCCACCUUAUUUGCUAUUGCCAAUUCCAAGGAUGCGUUGGUAGUUGAUAUGUGGGAGCAGGAUGGGGACCUGUGUCGUUGGCAUCCUAGUUUCUCUAGACAGUUCCAUGAUUGGGAGGUAGAGAUGGUGGAGGCCUCUCUUUGGAAACCCAAAAACAUUCAGUUAAGUAUAAUGUUGAGGAUAAAAUGAUUUGAUCAGUUACAAGGAAUAGAAAGUUCUCUGUUAAAGCUUUCUACUCUUUUUUGGACUUUGGGGGGUGUAGAGGCCUUCCCAACCAAAGUUGUUUGAAACUUGUGGGUCCCAUUGAGGGUGGGUUGUUUUUACUUGGGAAGCUACUUGGGAGAGGAUCUUAACUUUAGAGGGAGGAGAAACCCAUUGAUCACUUGCUUCUGCAUUGUGUUAUUGUUGCUCUUCUCUAGCAGUUGGUUUUUUCCUUAGUUGGGUUACAAUGGGUGAUGCACUCUUGAGUCAGGAUGAUGUUGCUAAGCUGGAAUGGGGCAGGCUCAGCUAGGAAAAAGGCAGAAGAAGCUUGGUUAGCUGCCCCUUCAUGUCUUUUUUGGACCAUUUAGCCUGAAAGAAAUCGGAGGGCUUUUGAAGAUGCGGAUCUUUCGAAUCAUUUGCUAAAAUCAACUUUUCUGCUUUCUUUAUGGAUUAUGUUAUGCCUCAUUUAGAAGGAAAGUCCAUAUCUUUGAUGGAUUUUGUCGAUUGGUUAGGUGCUAAGUAAUUGUCGGGCAGGUGUUUUUUUCCCCUUUUUUGUCCUCUCCCCUCGCUUUUUUCACUUGGCCCCCUUUGAAUGCUCCUGGUGUACUUUGGCGAGUUUUAGCUAUUCUGCUUUGUACCACCCUUUUAGUUGUUAUAUAUAUCUAUUCUGGUUGCUUAUCAGAAAAAGAAAAAAAAAAUUGUUUUGAUGCUUUGAAUCACUUGAAAUCCAUAUAUAUCACAAUCUUUAUACAAGAAAGGAAUCAUCAACACCGGAAGCAAAAACAGAGAUUAUGUCUAUCUACUAGCAACAAAUGCCUCAUUGCUGAGAAUUCCUCUGUCCCAUGCACUCCCACUUAAUAACAAAAAUUGUUCUUCUCCAUUAAAUAACAGAAAAAUGUUUCUUCCCAGUAUUGCUUUUGUUCUCCAGGAUUGAACAGAUGGAAAGAAGGAUAUCAAUUAUAGUAUGCUAACCCAGAAAAUGGCAAACCUUAGGAGGAACUUCGACCGGGUGAAUAUGUUGCCAGUGGAAGUGAUGAUGGAAGAUGGUUUAUCUGGGACAAGAGAACUGGUAGACUAAUAAAAA